UACGUAGGGUGCGAGCGUUAAUCGGAAUUACUGGGCGUAAAGCGUGCGCAGGCGGUUGUGCAAGACAGAUGUGAAAUCCCCGGGCUCAACCUGGGAGCUGCAUUUGUGACUGCACGGCUAGAGUGUGUCAGAGGGGGGUAGAAUUCCACGUGUAGCAGUGAAAUGCGUAGAUAUGUGGAGGAAUACCGAUGGCGAAGGCAGCCCCCUGGGAUAACACUGACGCUCAUGCACGAAAGCGUGGGGAGCAAACAGG
rnacentral:rRNA from 1 species